rnacentral:rRNA from 1 species
GUCGACUGGAAUUCUUCUUCGGAAGAUAGUACGGUGGCGGACGGGUGAGUAACGCGUAAAGAAUUUGCCCUUCAGACUGGGACAACUAAUCGAAAGGUUAGCUAAUACCGGAUAUUAUGAGACCUUGGCAUCAAGGACUUAUGAAAGCUAUAUGCGCUGGAGGAGAACUUUGCGUUCCAUUAGCUAGUUGGUAGGGUAAUGGCCUACCAAGGCGACGAUGGAUAGCCGGCCUGAGAGGGUGAACGGCCACAAGGGGACUGAGACACGGCCCUUACUCCUACGGGAGGCAGCAGUGGGGAAUAUUGGACAAUGGACCAAAAGUCUGAUCCAGCAAUUCUGUGUGCACGAUGAAGGUCUUCGGAUUGUAAAGUGCUUCCAGGUGGGAAGAAGAAAGUGACGGUACCACCAGAAGAAGCGACGGCUAAAUACGUGCCAGCAGCCGCGGUAAUACGUAUGUCGCAAGCGUUAUCCGGAAUUAUUGGGCGUAAAGCGAGUCUAGGCGGCUUGUUAAGUCAGAUGUGAAAAUGCGGGGCU